rnacentral:rRNA from 1 species
GACGAACGCUGGCGGCGUGCUUAACACAUGCAAGUCGAACGGUGAAGCGCCUUCCUUUUUGGUGGGUGUGGAUGAGUGGCGAACGGGUGAGUAACACGUGAGUAACCUGCCCCCUUCUUCUGGAUAACCGCAUGAAAGUGUGGCUAAUACGGGAUAUUCUGGGUCUGUCGCAUGAUGGGUCUGGGCAAGAUAUUGUUUCGGUGGGGGGUGGGCUCGCGGCCUAUCAGCUUGUUGGUGGGGUGAUGGCCUACCAAGGCGGUGACGGGUAGCCGGCCUGAGAGGGUGGACGGUCACACUGGGACUGAGACACGGCCCAGACUCCUACGGGAGGCAGCAGUGGGGAAUAUUGCACAAUGGGCGCAAGCCUGAUGCAGCGACGCCGCGUGAGGGAUGGAGGCCUUCGGGUUGUGAACCUCUUUCGCCAGUGAAGCAGGCCUGCCUCGUUUGUGGGUGGGUUGACGGUAGCUGGAUAAGAAGCGCCGGCUAACUACGUG